ACGGCUCAGUAACACGUGGAUAACAUGCCCUUAGGAGGGGGAUAAUCUCGAGAAAUUGAGAAUAAUACCCCAUAGGUCAUGAAUGCUGGAAUGCUUCAUGGCUCAAAGUUCCGGCGCCUAAGGAUUGGUCUGCGGCCUAUCAGGUUGUAGUGGGUGUAACGGACCCACUAGCCAAUGACGGGUAUGGGCCCUGAGAGAGGGAGCCCAGAGAUGGACUCUGAGACACGAGUCCAGGCCCUACGGGGCGCAGCAGUCGCGAAACCUUCACACUGGGGGCAACCCUGAUGAGGGAAUUCCUAGUGCCUGCAUUUUGUGUAGGCUUUUCUUUAGUGUAGAUAGCUAGAGGAAUAAGGGCCGGGUAAGACGGGUGCCAGCCGCCGCGGUAAUACCCGCGGCCCGAGUGGUGGUCGAUAUUAUUGAGUCUAAAACGUCCGUAGCCUGUUCAGUAAAUCUUUGGGUAAAUCGGCCAGCUUAACUGACCGAACUCCGAAGAGACUGCUGAACUUGGGACCGGGAGAGGCCAGAGGUACUUUUGGGGUAGGGGUAAAAUCCUGUAAUCCUAAAAGGACCACCGGUGGCGAAGGCGUCUGGCUAGAACGGAUCCGACGGUGAGGGACGAAGCCCUGGGGCGCAAACGGGAUUAGAUACCCCGGUAGUCCAGGGUGUAAACGCUGCAGGCUUGGUGUUGGGGGUCCUUCGAGGGCGCCCAGUGCCGGAGAGAAGUUGUUAAGCCUGCUACUUGGGGAGUACGUCCGCAAGGAUGAAACUUAAAGGAAUUGGCGGGGGAGCAC
rnacentral:rRNA from 1 species